rnacentral:misc_RNA from 1 species
AGAGAAGUCACCGGAGGUUUCGUUGAUGGUGUAGGUCGAGACGGAGGAGGGAAGAAGGCCGAAGGGAAAUCCGUAAUCGGCGAGGCGAGAGUGAGCAGAGGAGGGUGGAAUUUUUAUGGCUUUGGAGUCGGUGGAUUGGGUGGAAAGAGAAACGAGGGCUGAGAAGAGAAGGAGAAGGAGGAUGGACUUCAUGGUGAGCUUCUUCUACCUCCGAUCGUUCUCUUAAUCAAAUCCAAUGUUGUUUGGUUUCAGAUUUUACAAAUCACUCUGAGAUUUGUUCUUUGUGUUGCGGUGCUUCCUUUCCAGUUAUUGACUAGUCGUU